rnacentral:lncRNA from 1 species
UUUUUUUUUUUUUUUUUUUUUUACCAAAAACUUUCAAAUCAUGUGGAGGGGUGUAUGUUUAGAUAAAGUUCUAGAAGAAUACAAAUCAUAGUGCAAUUAUCCCUGGAGAACAGGUGUACACACGCAAUUUCCUUUUUAGCUUUAUAUUCUUGAAUAUUGUUUAAAAUUUUCAGUGGAAUGAAUUGUUUUCUAAAUUCUUAAUCAAGACAAUUGAAGAAAAGAAAUAAGAUCCAAAGAAAUCUUAAGUAUAUCUCUGUCAUGGGUAUCAACCUACCAAGUUUUAAAGAUCCCUGAAAGACCAUCUUUACCAUAAAAUUUCAAGUUUACUUUACAGCUCCUCCUCUUGACGCUGGAAUAGAGAUAUAUGAUUUUACAUGCAAGGCUAGGAGUUUCAUUUCUGACCCUCUCCCAAUUAUUCUGUCCUAUUUAUUUCCAGAUGCCUUUACCCAUGGAGGUAAAUCUGACCUUUGGUGAAGGUCACCUGACAUAAACCAGUAUACACUCACUGGGCCAGUACGCUGGUAGCACCCAGAAACAGGAGUUGUACUAAGUUAAAGCAAGCCAUCCAGAAACCACAUCCUGAAGUCUGCUGUGAAUGGGUGAUCGCACAGCUCACCAGCCAGGGCUGUCAUUGCUUGGCCAUUAGCACUGAGGCCCAGGAAGCAGAGUCCUCUGGAAGAAGCAUCAGCCACACUCCAGGGCUUCUGUCAGCUGACCAUUGCAAGGACAACAAAUUAGACUUGCUCUUCUUUGAUGGCAGAGGAACCACCUUCCAGAACCAGUGUGAAGCUCACCCAAGAGCCUGUGUGUCACAGUUUUGUGAAUGCCCAAGUGUUCUGACAUAGGGAGUCUAUACUACUCACCUUACUAAUACUCCCAACAGAUUUUUUGUUUUCCUGACUUCCACUCUCCUGGCCAAGUCUCUGCUGGGUGGAUACCACACUGGGCUGACAGAAGGCAUUUGUUAGUCUUUGUAGACUGUUUAUUUCUGAUAAAGGUAAUUCAUGACAACACCUGUAUGGAUACUGCCCGGUGGUGUGUUGGUAAAUGUUUAACAACCAGCUUUCCUGGACAAACUACCCCUAGGCUAGUAAUAUUUAUCAAUUUCCUUAGCGUAAUGGCAACUUCCAAGACUGAGGUCAAGAUACCAACAAAAUGUCACUGAAUAUUGGGAACACACGCACAUACUAGCAUUACUAUUUCUAUCUUAAGAGCAGAGGUAAUGGGGAAGUGUAAUAAAAUCAUUAGGAAGUGAGUUGCACCUACAACAUUUGUUUUUAAUAUAAGUUAUUUAAUCAUAAAUGCACAUAGUUUAGCAUCUAAAAAUGGCUGAGUUUAAGAAUGGCCUCACAAAAUUCCUGAAAAUUUAGCAACUGGCUCAUGCAAGCCAGUACAAACUGGCUCCAGCACACCCCGAGAUUCCCACAGUGCAAGAUGUUACAGAUAUUCUUUUGCCUGGAAAAGUCACAGUCAUUUAUUUCCUUAACAGAUACUCAGAUCUCCCUAUGUUUUGGACAACCCAUGUGCCUGUCUAUAUGUUGACAGGCAGGGCCUAUGUUGACGCAGAUGUCCGGAUUCACAGCUCCUUGGGCUUGGUGUCGGGGCUGGACAGCGCAGUAGAUAAGGAAAGUCAUGGACACCAGAGUCAAAUAAACCAGUACCAUUCUGCAUUAAUGUACCAUUUAGUAAUUCCUUAACUGUUAAUUUAAUGAUUUAAUAAAUAUUGCCUAUGUUAUAUUAAAAAAAGAGAUAAAACAGGUAGAGAAUAUUCUUAAAACAGAUGUGAUGUUUAAGGACAUCUGUACAACACUCAGCAUUUGAGAGGAGCUUAGUACGUAUCAGCACCCUUUCUCUUGAACGAGCACCUCCACAGAUCCCAGGUAAUCGAUUGGGGCUAUUUAAAGAGGCCUGCAGAGCCAGGCAGUGUCAGGACACGGCAGGCUGAACCUGACUCCUUUUCUUUUUACCUGAUUUGGAAAUCAGGUUGGGAGCAACCCUGACUUUGUCAUUCCGGUGCCUGGCAACAGUCUGCCGUUUAAUCUCCUAGGCGAGCUGCCCUUGUGUGGCAGGUUCUACAGACAAAACUGUCCUGGGUCUGUGGUGAUAAUAUUCCUCUGGGUCACUCAGGUUGGAUGGAUAAUCAGUUGCCUUCAUUCUUGGGAACCAUCCCAGCCUCCCAAGGCUCUGCAGCCACACGAGCUUACCCAGGGUGCUAGGCCUCUCCAAGGUGAGCCUCAACAGAGUUUGUAAAAAGGUUUUCAACAGGAAAACUAUGUAUAACAGCAAUUUGAACUCUUCUCUAGUUAACUGAUCAAAUCACAUGCUUUGUACAUGCGAAUGGAUUUUUUGGGAACAUCAAAAAUUUAUUUUAAAAUAUCCUUCAGAAAAUAUGGAGGUGAAUUUACCAAAAAAUUGUCUAGGGUACAAGAAUUACAAGAGUGCUCAGUUUCCCCAGGAAACAGAGUAUCACCAACAAUGAAGGGCAGAAGUACUGGUCUGAACAAUGAUGACAAAACUUAGUAACACAUCUAAAAACAGAGGAUAUGUGGUAGGAUAUGUAAUGGAUAUAUAAUGAUUCACUAAAUAAUACAUUUUUAAAAAGUACUCAAUGAAGGGAGAAAGCUGGAAUGCCUUCCACUCACUCUAGCUGUCCAAAUCAAAUUCUCUUUUCAAGCCCCAGCCCAGUUCUCAAAGGCUCCAGUAAACCGUUCUUGGAUGCCCAUCCACUGAACUCCCACGGCUACGCAAUGUGUUAUCUCUACUGCUCGGUUUCUACUUUCAUCACAUUCCGUACUGUUGUCUUUGCAGAUAGUCAAAUUGUCCUUUUUUUUUUUUAUUUAAAGAUUUUGUUUAUUUGACAGAGACUGAGAGAGAGAGAGCAUGUGUGCACAAGCAGGAGGAGUGGCAGAGGGAGAGGGAGAAGCAGACUCCUCCCUGAGCAGGGAACCCAAUGUGGUGCUCCACCCCAGGACCCUGGGAUCAUGACCUGAGCCAAAGGCCAACACUUAACCAACUGAGCCCCCCGGGAACCCCUCAAAUUGUCCUAUUUUAACAUCUUCUGUUUUUGGUAGCAGAGAGCAGGUCCUGUACUUCUAUGUAAGCUUCAUAUAAUAGACAGUAAUUCAUGAAAGAAGAAGCGAAGCAAUGACACAACCAAUGAACGAACGCUAUGGAUUUGGCCAAAGCACAGCUUCUGCAGUGCCCCGUUUCCUCACCUGGCCUUUACACAAGGAGCUGAUAGGGAUUCGAUUUAAAAAUGAAGCUUCCACUGUUAAUGUGGCUGAUUAGUCUGGGGUCAGGGUGACAGGUCACAAUCCCUCCUCAUCCCCAGCAUAAUAAAAAUAGCCAGGAAGGAACCCUUGAGGUUCACUUAGAGAUCUUAUCCUUUGGCAUCUAGCUUUCUCUGGUUUGUAUCUCCUCUAGGACAGAGUUUGCAGAUGUAGGCUUGUUGGAUCACCUCCUCAAAUCUCCUGUGGCUCAGGGGAAAUAUGCAGAUUUCUGGACACCCCCCCUCCCCUGAAAGGCCAUUGGAUCAGAUUCUUGGGUGGGAGGUGAGGGCUGCAUCUCCCACAUGAUUAUUACACACUAUAAAGUUUAAGAAUCUCUUAUUCAGAAGAGAAGGGAGAGAGGAGAAAGAAGUGUUAGAUGGCUCCCAUAUGCCAGGUACUGAUAUUUAAGAUGCCUCCUUGGAUUCUCACACCACUAAAGGUCGAUUUCAUCAUUUUCUCUCAGGACUUUCAGAGAGGACUCUCAGAUGCUCAUGUACUGAUAAGACAAGUUGCCAAAGGCCCCACAGUGAGUUAGUACAAAGACUGGAUCCUGAUGCCGGUCCAUCUGGCCCCGUGUGUUUAGUUCUGUCCAUGACAUUACACUAUUCACCCCACUACUACAGAGGGUUCUCUCUAUUUGCAUACAUAUGAGAUCCCAGGUUCCAGUCAAUACUUUCCAUGUCGACAAAAGGACUUCUGAGAUGCUACUCCUACUCCACAGAUCAUAUUUCAGAAGACUGAAAAGCUCACAAAGCUCCUGGAAAUUUCUCAUCCACCUAUAGAUGCCACAGGGGGACCAUGUGCUUAAACCCUCUCCCUCAACUGCAGCAUCACAUGGGUUGGGUAUGAAUCCUCCACAUUUUCCUUUCACUUACACACACACACACACACACACACACACACAAUUAUACCCAUGCUUUAUGGGACAGGCACUCCAUACAGACACAUGCUGCCAUGGGAACAUGGGUUCAGAAUAUGUAGCUGGCUUUCCUUUUUCUUGUAUAGAUAUUUUCAAAACAGUUUCUUUGGUGAUAUCUUUUUUAGUCUCCUUGUUUCCUUGACUACAUGAUGAAAGCCGCCGGGUGCUUUUUAGUAGCGCUUUCUCUACUGACCUUGGUGGCUGAAUGAAUAUUCCUAUUCUUGAUUCAAAGUCUAU